ensembl:lncRNA
GGAUUAGGGACAAGAGGAGAUUGUGGUUCAGAUCAAGUGUUUCAGCAUAAACCUGUGGCAUCUCACCUGGCAUUCUUUCCCCAGGGGCUCUGUCAUUGCAGGGCCUUCCUCCAUGGGCUGGAGGGCUGGAAGGCAAGAUAUUCCCUGGAUCUUAGCAGCAGCAAGACUCUGAGGAAGUUCAGCCCCUGAGGUGUGGUCCUAGUUCAGGGAAGGGGAGAAUCAGCUUCGUGAAGACCUCUACCUUCCUUCCCCUGCUGGUCACUUUCCAGGAACUGUGAUGAAGAAAGACAGAUUUGUGAAGUAGCAAACACAGAUGUCUGUGACCUGGACAUGCCAGUUACCAACAAAAAACAGGAAUAAUCUUUCUAAGUGAACUAAAGGAGAAAAGCAAGUUGCUGGUGAAGCCCCAUAGCAUCCUCUAGAGAACAGAGUCCAUGGAUCGUUUCAGCAGCAGCAGCAGAGACACAGAACCGCUGAGGACUGCCCAGUGUUACUAAGCAG